GCCGCUUUAUUCUUCACUUACGCAUGCUGUCUUUACAGUUCACACUGAUUUUGCGUUUCAACUCGGUCCUCAUUUCUUUAUAACGAAGUGGAGGAACAAAAAGAUGUUUUCAGAAGAACAUUGAAGAGGAAGAGAAUGAAAGCUGCAAGUUAAAAGAAAUGAGGGCUGAGUUGGAACGCAAAAUCUUU